CCUUUAUUAUUCUUUUAACGCCAACCCUUUCUUCUCCUUCUGCUUCUUCUUCAGACGUUUAGAUUGACUAACGCCAACCUCUCUCUCUUCCAAAUACAGUUUCAAAACUUCAGACCUUUGGCUUUCUAACGCCAACCUCUCUCUUCCCUCCUUCGUCUCUUCCUCUCCUUAUUUAAGUGAAUCACUCCUUCAUACCUCAUCAAUAUUUCCCCUCCUUUUACUCUUCCUAUCUUUCACGGUUUCAAAACUUCAGAAUUGCAGCUUUCUCUUCCCUCCUUCGUCUCUUCCUCUCCUCAUUUAAUUGAAUCAGAAAACAAUAUAUUUAAAGAAGAGCUCAGAAAUACUGAUAGACUUCACUUCAGUAAUUCAAUCAACACUCUGUUUCCUAUCCAUAUCCUUUUGCGAGAGGCAAAUUGGUCCGACCACAGGCCUAAGUUCAAGGCCACCGUCAACUUUAAUGGUGAGGAGUUGUUAGCUGCCUCCUCUGUAUGAGCUGUCAAUAUCUACAUUGGCUACAAGAGAAAAGCUAAAAAAUUAGGGUAAGGAAAAUUACCCCAAUCUGUGAUUAUUUGAAGCUAAGGUUAUACAACUUCAGGAGAUUGGAGGAAGAAUGUAUCCACCUUCCUUGUGCAGGCUGUGAGGAAAGAACAUAUCAAGAUUCAUUGUUUUUGAAUAGCUGCAGCUUGCAGGUCAAUCUCCAUAUGUGGUUUACAUUAUUCUCAUCACGCUAUAAUGGAUAGUUUAUCAUUUGAACCUUAGACUGUAGUCAUAAUACAUGUGACUUUGUUGAAUGUACAUCUAUCUUCAGUGUCAAUUUGAUAGUUCUGCUACUUGCUGAGUUGUGUGGGAGGGUCAUCAUGGAUUGUACUGAAGCCUUUAUCCAUACCUUAAUCAAUAUUACUAAUUUCCUAUUUUAUAUAGAUGAUUGUGCAUUGAUUGGAUGUAUUUAAAUGUCUAAUUGAUUUAAUUGUCACUUAACUACAUAUGUUAAUCAAUUGUCACGUAAUUAGGUAUUGCCACAUUCACUAUGAUAAAUUGAUAAUAGAGUAGAGAAACUAACAAAAAAGGCCUAGAGUUAUUCAAACAAGAGAUGAACACGAUGCUUAUGCUUCCAAGUACGUUUUUGUGGAGCAAAGGUUCUUAAAUCUUAAGUAUUACAGCAUUAAAAUCUCAUUGGUAUGAAGUAUACAUGCUGCAUUUAUCAUUAGUUUACGGACACUCUCAUCCAUUAAUCGACAAUCAAUGUAUGUGCCCACCUGAAUUACCUAGAAACCAUCAUUCUGUAGUUGUACUUUGCAUAUCAGUCUUCAAACAAGUAAGCCACAGUGGUUUAAAUUCUUGGUCAUGAAUGAGCUAUUCAAUCUUCCAAGCUAUCAUUUGGAUGAUUUAUUUAUUUAUUAUUAUUACUAAAUCCUUACCAAAUUUGAACUCUUUUUAUUAUUAGUUUUUUUUUUAAAAGAUGAUUACAGAGUAAUCUAAUGUUUAAUUUUAUUUAUUUAUUUCCUUAUGAAUGAUAAAUAAGAAGUUACUAAGUUGUGUAACAUAAAAAAUAAACAAAUAAAUGAAUGCAAUUGAAUCAUGUGUCCGGUUGAAAAGAUAGAGCCUGGUCCCAAAUCAUAUGAUUUAAUUCCACAUCCUUCUUAUAUGUAUUUUAAUAAAAUUAAGGGCACAUCAUCCUUAUCAUGUAUACUUAUCAAAAAAAAAAGUUGAGGUUUUUAUAUUUUUUUCAGGGUUAAUUUUUGUUUCGCUUUUAAAUAUAUCAGUGGACAUAUUGGAGAGUGGAUUAUGGUUUGGGGUUGUAAGCAAUGAGCACCAGUUCUACUUGCCAAUGAAAGCAAGAAAGAAUCAGAGUCAUCAACAAAAAAUCAUAACGAGGUAAUUCUAAGUGGGUUUGAUGUCCUUAAUUUUG